rnacentral:lncRNA from 1 species
AAGUGCUCGUCCAAUGACCUUGUCAUAAGUGUGUUACCCUCAUAGGAUAUCCUUAAUCUCUUUGGAUAAAUUUGUUCUCCCAAUAUGAUCCUAUUUUAUCUUAUAAUAACCAUUACAUCUUCCUUCAUGAAAAGUCAAUUACUAUAAAAUAAUAUCAAGUCAUUUAUCACAAAGAAAAACGACUUGUGGUCAUGCUUACUUUUCAUUUAUCAUGUAAUGCAAAUGAGAAGAUAUGAUUUAUCCUUGGGCUAUGAAUUCCACCAUUGUGAAUAAUGCUACAUAUUGCAGAAG